rnacentral:misc_RNA from 1 species
AUUCCCUUCCGGUUAUUUUAGGCAACAUCUCAAGCUCAGAUGCUGACAAUCCCUUCUCCGCCGGCUGCUUUACAGGCGAUGCGAUUUCCGUUUGGUUAUUAUUUGCAGCGUACCAGAGGAGACAAAUAUAAACAAGGAAAACAGCGCUCAUGCCGACGCAGGGGAGAAAAAGGGCCAAAAAGACAGAGAGGAGCAUGCUUUGGUUGGCGGAGGCGAAGUGAUUGUUGACGGGGGUUGGAGGCGGAGAGGGAGAGAGGAAAAGGGGUGCGUAGCGCACGCCAUCGCGCAUUAUAGGGAUGGAGAAGGAAAGUGAGAAAAUAAAUGGGCGAAGUCGAGAAGAUGGAGCGUGGUGGGUUGGCUUGGCGUUGGCGUUGGCGUUGGCUUUUCAGGUAUAUAGUGUAAGCGGG